rnacentral:rRNA from 2 species
ACGCAGAUGUGGCCACAUUGAUUGAAGGUGCUUGCACCUGAUUGAUUUUGGUCGCCAACGAGUGGCGGACGGGUGAGUAACACGUAGGUAACCUGCCCAGAAGCGGGGGACAACAUUUGGAAACAGAUGCUAAUACCGCAUAACAACGUUGUUCGCAUGAACAACGCUUAAAAGAUGGCUUCUCGCUAUCACUUCUGGAUGGACCUGCGGUGCAUUAGCUUGUUGGUGGGGUAAUGGCCUACCAAGGCGAUGAUGCAUAGCCGAGUUGAGAGACUGAUCGGCCACAAUGGGACUGAGACACGGCCCAUACUCCUACGGGAGGCAGCAGUAGGGAAUCUUCCACAAUGGGCGCAAGCCUGAUGGAGCAACACCGCGUGAGUGAAGAAGGGUUUCGGCUCGUAAAGCUCUGUUGUUAAAGAAGAACACGUAUGAGAGUAACUGUUCAUACGUUGACGGUAUUUAACCAGAAAGUCACGGCUAACUACGUGCCAGCAGCCGCGGUAAUACGUAGGUGGCAAGCGUUAUCCGGAUUUAUUGGGCGUAAAGAGAGUGCAGGCGGUUUUCUAAGUCUGAUGUGAAAGCCUUCGGCUUAACCGGAGAAGUGCAUCGGAAACUGGAUAACUUGAGUGCAGAAGAGGGUAGUGGAACUCCAUGUGUAGCGGUGGAAUGCGUAGAUAUAUGGAAGAACACCAGUGGCGAAGGCGGCUACCUGGUCUGCAACUGACGCUGAGACUCGAAAGCAUGGGUAGCGAACAGGAUUAGAUACCCUGGUAGUCCAUGCCGUAAACGAUGAGUGCUAGGUGUUGGAGGGUUUCCGCCCUUCAGUGCCGGAGCUAACGCAUUAAGCACUCCGCCUGGGGAGUACGACCGCAAGGUUGAAACUCAAAGGAAUUGACGGGGGCCCGCACAAGCGGUGGAGCAUGUGGUUUAAUUCGAAGCUACGCGAAGAACCUUACCAGGUCUUGACAUCUUGCGCCAA